ensembl:lncRNA
AAAAAGGUGGAGUGAACAUUCAGAAUGUAGAAGGGAACGAUAAAGCCAGCAAUUUGCUGCCCGGGCCGCACUUCUGGCUCCGCAAGAGGCAGUGCUGCGCGUCCUCGCCCAGGAGCUCGUCAUCGCCGGCCGAGACGGCGCCAGGGUCGGCGCGCGCUGGGCAGCCAUCCCUGUAGCUUCCCGGGGAGACACGCUCGUCCGGUCCCCAGAGGCCGGCGAGGCCGCCCACCGCGCGGCGCCGCCCCGAGGUCCCGGGAAGUGGACCCGCGGUUCUCCGGGCCCCCAGUCAAGCCGCGCGCCCGCCCCCUGAGGCCCCAGACCCGCGGAGAGCGCGUGGGGUGGCCGCUAGUGGGUCCCGACCCGCCCGGGCUCCCUGAGCGGUCCACACAGCCCGCGCCCUGCCGCCUUCCCGGAACCGCCCACGCCGCGGGGAAGGCGGGGCCGCAGAAACCCGGCGGCGCGCCCAGCGCCCCGCUAUCUGCAAUAAUUGCAGCCUCCGCCGCUGCCUGGGGCGAUGCGCCACCCGGAAACCGGCUCCGCCGGGCUCCACCGCAGGCCUUUGAGCCCCUUUUCGCAUCCAUGGGGCUGAGCCGGCUGCCUGAGCCGGAGAGCGUUAGGGGCUCCUUCAAGGCCAAUUCAGGUAUGAAAAUUCUUACUAAGGAUUUAUUUGGUGGCAAGUGACAGAAACCCGACUCAAACUGGUAAGAAAUUUAUUGGCUCACCUAACUGAAAAGGAUCUGCUUUCAGCGGUAUGAGCAAUGCUUUUAUUAUUGCUUUUUAUUAUUUAUUAUUGCUUUUUAUGAUUAUUUUUAUUAUUGAUUAUUAAUUUAGAGCUUUCUCUUUCUGUCUUUCCAUGUUAAGACUCUGCUUUGUUCUGUGAUUAGUUACCUCCUUCUUUAGAAGACUUUUCUUGUAUGUUACAAUGAUUGUCAACAGCAAGUCUGGGCUUAGCAACCCCGACAGAAAGAAAACUCUUUCUUAAUGGUUCCAGUAAACACCCUAAACCUGACUCCCUUGGCCAGCUGUGGGUCACAUGCUCAUGCCUGAACUGGUGAAGGUGACCAGGGAAGGAGUUCCCUCUCUGGCCAAGCGUGUCUUCAUCUCUGGAGCAUUGGUGGAGCAUGGGGAUUAGAGAGGGAAGGAUAAGAGUCUCACGUGAGCCAUAUGUAUGGGGAAUAGAGGAGGCAUGGAUUCCACAAAAGAAAAUUAGUGUGCUAUCACCAAAAAAAAGGGGGAAAAUCAUGCUUGGCUGGCCAAAACUAUAAAUAUCCCCUAUGAAAAAGACAUUUAUUCCCACAUUUUGUGCAUUAGAUUGCAAUCUUUUCCAUCUCUUUCAUUGUCAGCUGUCACUCACACUGCUCUCAAUUUGUCUCUAUCACAAUCUCUUCCUACAUUUUAAUGUAUAACAUCAUAAGAGGAUUUGGAAGUCAGAUGAGCAAAAUCAUUAGAAUUGUUUUCAAAAUAAGAGUUAAUGCGCUCUGAGAACUUGAGAGCCUCUCUAUGAGUAAGGAGUAUAAACUUUCUGCUUUUUAAUGGACUUCACGAUCUUUCUUAACGUUCCUUAAAAAGCUCAUUUUUCCAUAUUUUCUGAUCUCUUUACCUUCUUCUGCCUUCUUAAUGGGAGAUAUACUAUUGUAAAUUUGUAAAUAUUGUAAAUUUCAAGACCCAGUGACUAUGAACAAUAAAUGCCACGAACAUGGUUGCUUUAAGUUACACUUUUGUGAUUUUUCUAAAUCUAAGUUGGGUUUUGAAAUGAGACCGGUGGUGUAAGUAUUCUUUUGGAAAUGGAAACAUAGCAGAGUACAAACAAACAGAGCUGACCAGCUGUAAGUUGUUUUCUUAAACAACUUAUUAAAAUACUGGUAUUUUAUUUUACCUUUUCUCUCUGCAAUACCUCUCUGAUCUCAAACAGUACUUUGGUAUCCAUGGUGGAGACUAUGGGAGAAUAGGGACAUUUUUUUAAACACAAAACUAUAUGAAUUCUCGAAAAUAGCAUAUAUUGUGCAACAUGCCCAAUUUUGAUUUUUUAUGUUAAAAAGGACUAGAAUAACAUUAAUAAAAUGAAUUCUCAAAUUCAUUUUAGCCAGUAGUGUUACGUCCCCUAAUCAAGAAGUUUGCCUUGAAAGAAAGAGUUUAAAAUCAUGAUCAAAGAAAAUGAAUGGAAUUAUGUAGUAGAUUCUUCAAGACUGGAGAGGCCUUGUCCUGCUUUAAGAGGAAAAGCAAAAAGAAUCUCAGAGGUUUAUGAUAAUUAGGGAGGAGGAAUAUGAGUGGCUAAUAACCAACACUAGUGAAUGCCUACCAUAUCCAUGGUUGGACCUACUCUUUUCUCCAUUGUACAGAUGGAGAAUUACUUACAGCCUGAGAAAUUUGGUAUAUGAUGGAGCUGGACUUUAGACCCAGGUUUGUCCAAAUCCAGAGCCAAUAGACUUUGUCACCUACUAUAUUAGGGGGUCAGUCUCUACAGAGGGUGAAGGCCAAGUGCCAUGGUUUGGGAUACAAUGUCCAAACUCUCCAGCCUUGUCUCUCAUUAUCCAUAGCCUCCCACCACAGGCUCUAACAGAGUUUUCCCUUGCACCACACUGGCUUUCAUGCCUCGAUGCCUUUAAGGCAAGGGUUCUCUGAACCCAGCAUUUUCCA